CGUUACCUACAGAAGAAGCACCGGCUAACUCCGUGCCAGCAGCCGCGGUAAUACGGAGGGUGCGAGCGUUAAUCGGAAGUUACUGGGCGUAAAGACGCAUGCAGGCGGCCGUCGUUAAGUCAGAUGUGAAAGACCCGGGGCGUUAACCUCGGAAUUGCAUUUGUAAACUAGGCAGGCUAGAGUCUUGUAGAGGGGGGGUAGGAAGUUUCAGGUGUAGCGGUGAAAUGCGUAGAGAUCUGAAGGAAUACCAGUGGCGAAGGCGGCCCCCCUGGACAAAGACUGACGCUCAGAUGCGAAAGCGUGGGGAGCAAACAGGAUUAGAUACCCCUGGUAG
rnacentral:rRNA from 1 species